AGUUAAUGAACUUGAUAUAAGUAUAUGUUUUGAAAGCAUAAAAAAGAGGUCAACUCCCCUAUUAACUU
rnacentral:tRNA from 1 species